GAUGAACGCUGGCGGCGUGCCUAAUACAUGCAAGUCGAGCGAACAGAUCAGGCUCUUGCUCUUCUGACGUUAGCGGCGGACGGGUGAGUAACACGUGGAUAACCUACCUCUAUGACUUGGAUAACUUCGGGAAACCGGAGCUCCUACCGUAUAAUAUAUUUAACCUCAUGGUUCAAUAGUGAAAGUCGGUUUUGCUGUCACUUCUAGAUGGAUCCGCGCCGCAUUAGCUAGUUGGUACGGUAACGGCUUACCAAGGCAACGAUGCGUAGCCGAACUGAGAGGGUGGUAGGCCACACUGGAACUGGGACACGGUCCAGACUACUAAGGGAGGCAGCAGUAGGGAAUGUGCCGCAAUGGGCGAAAGCAUGACGGAGCAACGGCGAGUGAGUUAUGGAGGUCCUGGGAGCGUAAAAAUCUGUUAUUAGGGAAGAACAAAUGUGUAAGUAACUAUGCAGGUAUUGACGGUACCUAAAGAGAAAGCAACGGCUAACUACGUG
rnacentral:rRNA from 1 species